rnacentral:rRNA from 1 species
CCUACGGGAGGCAGCAGUGGGGGAUAUUGCACAAUGGGGGGAACCCUGAUGCAGCGACGCCGCGUGUGGGAAGACGGUCCUCUGGAUUGUAAACCACUGUCCCCAGGGACGAAAAUGACGGGACCGGGGGAGGAAGCACCGGCUAACUACGUGACAGCAGCCGCGGUAAUACGUCGGGAGCGAGCGUGGUCCGGAAUUACUGGGUGGAAAGGGAGCGUAGGCGGGGAUGCAAGUUGGGGGUCAAAACUACAGGCUCAACUGGUAGUCGCACGCAAAACGGCCGCUCUUGAGUGAAGUAGAGGCAGGCGGAAUUCCUCGUGUAGCGGUUAACUGCGUAGAUAUUAGGCG